GUGCUUCAACAGCACAUAUACUAAAAUGGGAACAAUACAGAGAUUAGCAUGGCCCCUGCACAAAGGUGGCACACAAACUCAUGAAGCGUUCCAUAGUUUU
ensembl:snRNA U6 U6 spliceosomal RNA